GAUGAAGAACGUAGCGAAAUGCGAUAAGUAGUGUGAAUUGCAGAAUUCAGUGAAUCAUCGAAUCUUUGAACGCACAUUGCGCCCUUUGGUAUUCCUUAGGGCAUGCCUGUUCGAGCGUCAUUUAAACCUUCAAGCUAAGCUUGGUGUUGGGUGACUGUCCGCCUCACGGCGGACUCGCCUCAAAAUUAUUGGCGGCCGGUACAUUGGCUUCGAGCGCAGCAGAAACGCGAACUCGGGCCCGUCGUAUUGGCUCCCAGAAGCUAUCUUCACAAUUUUGACCUCGGAUCAGGUAGGAAUACCCGCUGAACUUAAGCAUAUCAAUAAGCGGAGGA
rnacentral:misc_RNA from 1 species